CGUCACCUGAAAGUUCCACUUUUCCAUCUCAGCCCUCCAUCUACGCUUUCAUCUAAGCCACUGGAUUCUUCUCUUCUCCAUCCUCUUCAUUGCGUCUCUCUCCUCUCCCCUUUCUCUGGCUUUCGUAUGUUGCUCUAAUUGUCUCUUCUCUCUCCUGUUUCUCACCACAACUUCUUCAGUUACUUCAAUUUAAAACCCUAGCAUACUUUUCCCCAAUUUCUAGGGUUUUCACUUUCGAAUUUCACGUUCAUGAUGGACAUUGAAUAGAUCUGUUUAGAAUUGUUCAACUCUAAAACUUUUGUUUUCACUUCCGAAUUCUCUAUAACUCGCCAUUUUCCAGAAUCAUACAAAUACACGAUUCAAAAUUACUUCGAAAGAGAGGAGAGAGAAACUGAAGCACCAAAGUUUAACAAAAAUGGCGACAUCAAGAGUAGAUAUGAAGGGAUUAUACAAGCAGAAGAAGAAGGUGUUAUAGAAAACCCACCUGGAGCGUCAAAAAAUCAAGUGAAAUAGCUCUCAAUUCUUUGAUCCUCAAGUUUUGGUUCUCAUCUUCAAAUUUUUGUCUAAGUGCAAAGAUGUAUCGGCUCGAGUCAAAAUAAUUGCAGAUCUUCUUGAUUCAAGUCCGUCGAACAUAGAAGCAUUGAUGGAGUAUGGAUGGACUGCUUGGUUGACAGCUUCAAUGUAGCUUGAUGUAGUGAAACAUUACAAACUGGAGUCGGUUAGUCAAAGCAAAAGUGAGAUGAUUGAACAAAAUUUUGUGAGAACAUUGUUUUGUGUUGUCCUUUGCUAUUAUCUGAUAUUUGUGAAAGCUAAUUGUCAACAUUUGGAGGAGGCAGUGAAUUUCAUACUCUUGCAUUUUGAAAAGGUGGUUCUAAAUUCUUUGUACUUUGUUGAAUUUUUAAAUGUUUUUAUA